AUUGAACGCUGGCGGCAUGCCUUACACAUGCAAGUCGAGCGCAUCCUUCGGGGUGAGCGGCGGACGGGUGAGUAACGCGUGGGAACGUGCCCUCUUCUACGGAAUAGCCCAGGGAAACUUGGAUUAAUACCGUAUACGCCCGAAAGGGGAAAGAUUUAUCGGAGGAGGAUCGGCCCGCGUUGGAUUAGGUAGUUGGUGGGGUAAUGGCCUACCAAGCCGACGAUCCAUAGCUGGUUUGAGAGGAUGAUCAGCCACACUGGGACUGAGACACGGCCCAGACUCCUACGGGAGGCAGCAGUGGGGAAUCGUAGACAAUGGGGGAAACCCUGAUCUAGCCAUGCCGCGUGAUCGAUGAAGGCCUUAGGGUUGUAAAGAUCUUUCAGUGGGGAAGAUAAUGACUGUACCCACAGAAGAAGCCCCGGCUAACUCCGUGCCAGCCGCCGCAGUAAUAC
rnacentral:rRNA from 1 species